UCGUUUGCAGCUAAUGUGACUUAUAACUAAACAAGUUAAAAUAACAGCAUUAAGGAGAGUCGUAAUCCGGAAACGUAUCAUGUGGUAGUAGGAACACAUUAAUCAUAACACUUUCACACAUGUAGAUUCUGAGUUAGUUUUUUUAAAGGUUAUUUUUAUUUAUCAGUACAAUGGAGCCAGACAGAGAACAGAUUUGCAACAGCUUGAUCACCUGGCUGCAGACGCUGGAAUUAUCAGCACCUCAUGAUAACCCAGCUGAACUCAGUGAUGGGAUAGCCAUUGCACAGGGCCUUCAGCAAAUAGCACCAGAAUAUUUCAGUCAAGCCUGGAUGUCCAAGAUCAAGGUGGAAGAUGUUGGAAACUGGCGUUUUAAAGUAACAAACUUAAAAAAAAUAUUGAAAGGAAUUUUGGAAUACAACCUUGAGGUGCUAGGCAUACAGAUUCAAGGCUUCCAGAUGCCUGAUGUGAAUGCAAUAGGAGAACAUAAUGACCCUAUGGAGCUAGGUCGUCUCUUGCAGUUAGUGCUGGGUGUUGCUAUUAACUGUGAACGCAAACAAGAACACAUCCAACGCAUCAUGGGUAUGGGGGAGAUGCAGCAACAAACGAUCAAAUAUGCCAUACAAGAGCUAAUGACGAAAGAAAUAGCAACUGGUGAUGAGGUGGAAUCUGAAGUUCAAGAACAGUUGAAACGCACUAUGGAAGAACUCAGUUCUGUGUUGGAAGGGAAAGAAGAACUACUACAGCGGUGUCAUGAACUGGACAUGCAGGUGGCAUCGUUGCAUGAGGAAAAACUUGGGCUACAAGCAGAAAAUGAAAGACUUCAAGAGCGACUUCAGCACGCAGAGAACAUUGAUGACCCCAGCACGCCUGUAGGAAAGCGCAUGAUGCAGUUCCAACAGCAGAUUGAAGUCCUGCAGGAUGAAAUUUACAAGUUAGAGUCAGGUAAAGAGGAUUACAGAAUAAAAUAUGAUGUUCUACUGAAAGAGUGCAACGAUUUAAAAGACAAGAAUGCAGAACUUACUCAGCUAGCAUCAGAAUCCAGAGCAAUGAAAGAUGAGCUUGAUGUUCUCCGCCAUACGUCAGACAAAGCAACAAAAUAUGAGGCAGCAAUAGAAUCUUACAAGAAGAAAUUAGAGGACAUGAGUGAUCUACGGGUGCAGCUGAAGAUGCUGGAGGAGAAGAACACACACUACAUGCAGCAGCAGAUUGAAAUGGAAGAGGAAAUCAAGCGGUUAAACAACACUAAGCAGCAGCUGGAGUCCUACAAGAGACAAACACUGGAACAGCAAAACCGUUUGACAGAUGAGACUAAGCGUGCAGACAAGUGGGAGUUUGAGUGCAGCAGGCUACAGGAGAGGUUGGCUACACUUCAGCGAGAAAAAGAGCGUGUUGUAGCUGAGAGGGACUCUCUGAAAGAAUUGAAUGAUGAGCUGAAAUGCACACAGCCAACUAUGGCUGGCAUCUCCCUGAGUGAGCAGAUAAGUGAUAUAGGGCCCUCACCACAGCGCAUGCUGUCUUUACCGCCAGAAGUCAAGGAGCAGCUUUUGCGACUGGAGCAUGAGAACAAAUUGCUGAAGAUGAGUGCGGAUGGGAACCAGGAGGAACAAACUCACAACUUACAGUCACAGCUGGAUGAUGCUAAUGCACGCAAGAAUGAACUUGAAACAGAAGUCAGGUUACUGAAUCAGCGCCUGAUAGAGCUGCAGGCACAGGUUGAAGAUCUUCAAGAGCGACAGCAGACAACAGCUUCAGCUUCAUCCACUGAGACAUUGGAGAUGAAGAGGCGAGCAACAGAGCUCACUCAACGGUUGGAAGAACGAGAGUUACAGAUAGCCCAGCGGACAGCACAAGUGGAGAUGCUGAAAGAUAAGCUGAGCAGCAGCGCAGAGACACUAACAGCUGUACAAGAAACUCUGAGACGCAAGGACGAAGAGAUGAGGGCUAUGGAAGAACGUUAUAGGCGAUACCUAGAUAAAGCCAGACAGGUUAUAAAAAGUCUAGAUGCAAGCCAGAGUGCUGAUACAUCAGCAGAAGUGCUAGCUCUCCGACAUCAACUUCAUGAAAAAGAACAAUACAUCACCAGUUUAGAAAAGGACCAGGAAAGAAUGAGAAGCAUUCACAGUGAGGAAGAGUCUUUGAUUGUCACUGCCUGGUACAACCUGGGAAUGCAGCUGCACCGACAGGCAGCUGAAGAGAGACUUGCCAACAGUAACAUGGGGCAGUCCUUUUUAGCACGCCAGAGGCAAAUGCAGACUCGCCGUGUCCCAGCUAUGAGUACUUUACACAACAGCAGCAAUAGCACUGUACUGCACUAACUGGCUGGUCAGGAGCAUCACUGGAGGCUGCAUAUAGCAGCCCUGGUGAAUAACUGGCCUGUGUAUGUCUAUAUGUAUGAAGUAACAGGUCAGUGGACAUUGCACGUUCUGAAGUCCCCCAUGGGAGUCUGAUGUUAGGGGCUACAAUAGCAGAUUCAUCUCCUAUAUACCUUCCUCUGCAGCAUCCAAGAAUGGAAUUACAUUUUUCACCUGUA
rnacentral:misc_RNA from 1 species